GAGCAAAAAAGGGCUCCUUCAAGCUAACCCUAAAUCACUCAAAAUCAGCCAAUUUCAAGCAAGAAAUCAAGAGCAAAUCAAAAAUCAAGCUGAAAUUAGUGAUCACCAAGCCUAGGGGAUCCCAAGGCGACUCGAGCGAGAAGGUAGGUAAUAAAGCCGGGAGCGACACGCGGCAUAAAGAGAAGAUCUAAGGUUACCUAGCAGUACCGGAUGAUGACUGAGCCCGACGAAGAACCGAACACCCGAGAUCAAAGCUUCCGCGAAUAGUUUUCGUCGUCACGUUUAAACGGCGAAUUAAAUUACAAAAUAUUGAAAUGUUUUAUUUAGUAAAUUGUUUUA